CGCAAUGGGCGAAAGCCUGACGGAGCAACGCCGCGUGAGGGACGAAGGCCUCUGGGCUGUAAACCUCUUUUCUCAAGGAAGAAGAUAUGACGGUACUUGAGGAAUAAGCCACGGCUAAUUCCGUGCCAGCAGCCGCGGUAAUACGGGAGUGGCAAGCGUUAUCCGGAAUUAUUGGGCGUAAAGCGUCCGCAGGCGGCUACUCAAGUCUGCUGUUAAAGCGUGGAGCUUAACUCCAUCAUGGCGUGGAAACUGAAAGGCUUGAGUAUGGUAGGGCAAGGGAAUUCCCGGUGUAGCGGUGAAAUGCUAAUUCGGGAAGAACCCAGUGGCGAAGGGCUCUGCUGGGCCAUUACUGACCCUCAUGGACAAAAGCCACGGGAGCCAAAGGGAUUAAAUACCCCUGUAUUCCCGGCCGU
rnacentral:rRNA from 1 species